rnacentral:rRNA from 1 species
UACAGGGGGGGCAAGCGUUGUUCGGAAUUACUGGGCGUAAAGGGUUCGUAGGUGGCCAACUAAGUCAGACGUGAAAUCCCUCAGCUUAACUGGGGAACUGCGUCUGAAACUGGUUGGCUUGAGUGCAGGAGAGGAAUGCGGAAUUCCAGGUGUAGCGGUGAAAUGCGUAGAUAUCUGGAGGAACACCGGUGGCGAAGGCGGCAUUCUGGACUGCUACUGACACUGAGGAACGAAAGCCAGGGGAGCAAACGGG